AUUGAACGCUGGCGGCAGGCCUAACACAUGCAAGUCGAGCGGAUGAAGGGAGCUUGCUCCUGGAUUCAGCGGCGGACGGGUGAGUAAUGCCUAGGAAUCUGCCUGGUAGUGGGGGAUAACGUCCGGAAACGGGCGCUAAUACCGCAUACGUCCUGAGGGAGAAAGUGGGGGAUCUUCGGACCUCACGCUAUCAGAUGAGCCUAGGUCGGAUUAGCUAGUUGGUGGGGUGAAGGCCUACCAAGGCGACGAUCCGUAACUGGUCUGAGAGGAUGAUCAGUCACACUGGAACUGAGACACGGUCCAGACUCCUACGGGAGGCAGCAGUGGGGAAUAUUGGACAAUGGGCGAAAGCCUGAUCCAGCCAUGCCGCGUGUGUGAAGAAGGUCUUCGGAUUGUAAAGCACUUUAAGUGGGGAGGAAGGGCAGUAAGUUAAUACCUUGCUGUUUUGACGGUACCAACAGAAUAAGCACCGGCUAACUUCGUG
rnacentral:rRNA from 1 species